rnacentral:rRNA from 34 species
UAACGACUCUCGGCAACGGAUAUCUCGGCUCUCGCAUCGAUGAAGAACGUAGCGAAAUGCGAUACUUGGUGUGAAUUGCAGAAUCCCGCGAAUCAUCGAGUCUUUGAACGCAAGUUGCGCCCGAAGCCAUCUGGUCGAGGGCACGUCUGCCUGGGUGUCACGC